rnacentral:rRNA from 1 species
AACGAACGCUGGCGGCGUGCCUAACACAUGCAAGUCGAGCGCGAAUGGGGGCAACCCCUAGUAGAGCGGCGAACGGGUGCGUAACACGUGGGUAAUCUACCUCAGAGCCCGGGACAACCUGCCGAAAGGCUGGCUAAUACCGGAUAAGACCACGGGGGCUUCGGCUCCUGAGGGAAAAGGUGGCCUCUGCAUGCAAGCUAUCACUGUGAGAUGAGCCCGCGGCCCAUCAGCUAGUUGGCGAGGUAAAAGCUCACCAAGGCAACGACGGGUAGCUGGUCUGAGAGGACGAUCAGCCACACUGGGACUGAGACACGGCCCAGACUCCUACGGGUGGCUG